UACGUAGGCAGCGAGCGUUGUUCGGAGUUACUGGGCGUAAAGAGUGCGUAGGCGGUUUUCUAAGUUUGGUGUGAAAUCUCCCGGCUUAACUGGGAGGGUGCGCCGAAAACUGGAAGGCUUGAGUAUGGGAGAGGUAAGCGGAAUUCCUGGUGUAGCGGUGAAAUGCGUAGAUAUCAGGAGGAACACCUGCGGUGUAGGCGGCUUACUGGACCAUAACUGACGUUGAGGCACGAAAGCGUGGGUAGCAAACAGG
rnacentral:rRNA from 1 species